rnacentral:lncRNA from 10 species
AUUACAUAAGGAUAUGCUUAUAAAAAUAAUUCGCAACUAGCUUUUCAAUUCAGAAGUAUAUGUGAAAAAUCAUCAGCAUCUAAUGGAUUUCAAGGAGAAAUGGGUUAGUAAUUUAUUCCGUAUGUCUCAAUUUUCUCUAAACCCAAGGCUUCCUUUAAAAUAAUUGUAGGCAUUUAAGAAACCAUGUAAACUAAAAAGAAGAAAUUGUGACACUGCCGCUUAGGUUUUUUAAAUCUUUGGACAUGAAUCAAUAUAUUUUUUAAAUUUUAUCUUAAUUAGACAUGGUGAGUUCACCAUCUUCCUUUCAGUAUAGCAUCCAAGCUGAUUAUCAUAGGUUACAAGUUCAACUAUCAACUGUGUUCUGAGAGUCUAAAAAAAUAAAUGAAUGUAUUUGUUUGGGUAUUCUUAAAGCAGGAGUGAGGACACAGCGAAAGUGAGACAAGGAAGAGAGAAUAAAAUAAAACAGGAAAGAUAGAAAAGCCAGUACCACACGUGUUAACAGGCAAGUUCCUGUGUUAGAUAUCUGGGCUUAAUUCUAUGGGAAGCUAUGUGGAACAUGCCUCAGAAUUACAUCACUGAAUCCAGGGAGAUUCUUCUUAGUAACCCUCACCUUUUCUUCCCACUUCAUGCCCAGUAUCAAGCUCCCGUGCUGCUAGAGAAAGUCCUCAGCUAGAAACAGGUGCAAAUUCUGGAGAUGAGACCUUGUAGAGUGUUAAGAAUGGUUUUCUUCCCAGCAGCUACAGGGCAGAGAAAACCCAGAGAAACCCAAGUGGCUGCUGGAACUAAGUCAGACACCGUGCCACCUGUCCACACUCCUUGGCUCUGCCAUCAUGCUGAAGAUUGCUUUAAAGGACUGGCUUCCCUCCCCCCAAGAUUAAAAGAGCACAAACUGAGAAACUGAAUGUGGGAGACAGCAGUGGAUUAUGCUGUUCUCAGGGGUCACCUCAGGUUUGGAAACAUUCUUUCAAAUUAACCCAUCUCAGGCCAUCUGCAGAGAAGAAAGGUGGUACAUAACUUUUUCUUGUUAGCAUUUGGUAGGGGUGUUUUAUUGACCAAAUAUGUUCCCACAACCUAGUUUUUUGUAACUGACUAAAUAUAGUAGAUUUUUAAAUUUUAUCAUCAAAAUCUAUAGACAAUUUUUGAUUAAAAUAGACUCCACAUCUAUGUCCUGCUUUUCUUCUUAUUAUUAAUUACAUUGUUGUAUAAAAGAACAAGACUUCAGAAUCAAGAAUAUCUUGUCUCUUGGCAUUGAAUUUAUACAAGGUGCUCUUUCUUUAAUGCUGUCUCAAAGGACAUAUUUUUUACUCAUUAAAAAGGAAGAUCAGAAUCUAGUUGUAUGCAUUGCUCCAACAUAUUAGUAAUUAAAAUUAGGAGGUAAAUGUGGUCAAAGCGAUAGAAAGACUUGAGAUGUCAUUUAUAUUGAUUAUAGCACUCUACAAACAGAAAUUGUUAAAUAAUAGUUUAUAUAAAUAUUUUGUAUCAUUUCAAAUAUUUGAGUGCCUGAAGUUUCUCCUCUUGUAUAGUUCAGAUUAUCAAUUUGAAGACUUACUCCGUUAGUUAAAAUGUUUCUAGUCUCGUUUAUUAUAUAAAAGCAAUUUUCAGUUAAAUGUGUUCCGCUUACAUAAAACAUUACAAAUUAGUGAGUAUUUAAUUACAUUUUCAUGUUCCUGUAAUGUCUUUAGAAGAUUUUCAUAUUAUUACCUAUCAAUAUAUGUAUGCUUUGUCAAAGAAAAAUCAAACAUAUAUAUCAUUGAGAUUGAAACUUUUUAAAAGUACUUAAUUCUAUUGAAAAACCACAUCCAUAGGAACAAUUGCAAUAUAAUAUUGGGAACAUUAAAUAUAUAUCCUAUGUCUAUUUUAUAUAUAAGCAUAUAUGAUUAAAAAUAUAAAGAUUUUUAAACGUAGUAUUAUAAAGUAAAAAUUAGUUAACUUCUGAUGAUUAUGUUAAUUAAGAUAAAAUUAUUCUGAUUUUGGUGAUUUUUAAAUAAAAAUAUUAAAUUACAUGACAAAAAUUCUUUAUAAAUUGUUUAUGAUUUUUACAUUGGUUUUAUCACUUUAUUCCACUAUUUUAUUUUAAGAUGACCUGUCUUGUUUAAAACACUGUAUUCAUCUUAAAUUAAAUUCCAUUUUUAAAAAAAUUAACAAGUGAUUUGCUCUAUUAUACAGUGCGGUUAUAAACUGAGUCAGUAUCUCAAGAUUUGAUCCCCAUUAUUGUCAUCUGUGGUCCUAUUUGUUUUAUAAAUGUAUUGUCUUUUUCCAUGCCUGUCACGUCUCUAUUGCUCUUUCAUUUUUCUCUUUGUCCCUUAUAGAGAGCAUUGCCUAUCUCUAGAUUAAGCAAAAGUUGCAUCUUAACAAA